AGCUCGGUAGCUUAGUUGGAAAAGCACUUGUCUAGCGGAUAAGGGUAGUGAGUUCUAAUCUCACAUGAGCUG
rnacentral:tRNA from 1 species